GUCCACGCCCUAAACGAUGUUAACUGGUUGUUGGGAAGGUUCCUUCUCAGUAACGUAGCUAACGCGUGAAGUUGACCGCCUGGGGAGUACGGCCGCAAGGUUGAAACUCAAAGGAAUUGACGGGGACCCGGCACAAGCGGUGGAUGAUGUGGUUUAAUUCGAUGCAACGCGAAAAACCUUAACCUACCCUUGACAUGUCUGAAAUCCUGCAGAGAUGUGGGAGUGCUCGAAAGAGAAUCAGAACACAGGUGCUGCAUGGCCGUCGU
rnacentral:rRNA from 1 species